CAGAAUCUCCAACGACUGCUACUCCACACUAUUUUGUUUUGUUUUUAAGUUAAGACAAGGUGCUGUGCCAUGCUAGGAUAUGUACCACAAUGGAAGUGUUUCUUCUUUCAGUCUGAGAAAUGGAGGACUGCCCUCCCAGCUAAUUAUACCCUCCUUCCUGAGGAUCUGAAUUCAAGGAAUGGUCCUUCAGUUGUGUACAGAGGAUGACAGGGGCUUCACUGAUACAUUCUUCAGUGAACCAAGAGAUUUUCAUACUACCUCAGGUGAACAAACCUUCAAAAAUCUACAUAUAUAAUAUUAUUUUCUGUGUCCCCUUAUUAAGAAGGCUAAGUGCUAAGUGACUUGUGAAAGAUUACAGAUCUCUGCCCAUGAAUAAAAUGACAGGGAAUGAAAUUUAAAUGACUGUUUAAGAAACAUAAGGCAAUGAGGGUCUGCUCAAAGCUGAAACAGAGAACAAAGGCAAGCGAAAUCUUGGGAGCAGAUGUUAUUAUUGGAGUAAGAUUGCUUUAAGGAGAUGAACUAGAGAAAAGAAAACAAAAAUAUACCACAAUCUAUAAUUUCUGUUUUUGGAUACAUAGGAUUUUGGGUUUUCAUAUGAUCGAAAAUUUUAGACUCAAUUAAUGGAUACUCUUAUUAAUUCUACAAAUGUCUAUUGAGUAACACACACUAUUUAAUGACAUGAAAACUACAAAGAUGAAGUAAACAGACAAGAUCUGAGUGCUCAUAGAGUUCAAUUUGGCACCUUGCUUCAUUCUUAAUAUGGAAAGGCAAUCUAACAUAGUAGUUACAAUAACAAAUCUGGCAAUUAUUUUUUUGAAUAACAAAUCUGGCAAUUAUUGGCUUUAUGACCUUGAGCAAGUUACUCAACUUCUCUAAGCUUCGUCUUCUUAUUUGUAAAACACGAAUAAUACUAUUUAACUCACAGGAUUGUUGUAUUAAAAUUGAAUGAAGAAUAUAUAGCAUUUCACAUACUGCCUGGAGCUUAAUAUUCAUUACAUGUUAUUUUAUUAUUAUUAAAAAUUUUAUUAUUAUGAUUUAGUGCAUAUUGUGUUAACUGAACCUUAUUGAACAAGAAAUAUUUAAGCAUAUUUCAAAGGUGGCUAAUAGGACUUACAUUAGUUGGAAUUAUGUGAAGAGAAGGACGUAGAGGGAUAAAGGAUGGGUUUAUAUAAGCCUAGAAAAGUAAGCAAAAGGUGUAUCAAUUGGGCUUUUGACGUUAAAGAAAAAGAGGUCAUGACUUUUUUUAAAAAAAAAGGUAUGGUCAAGCAUCAUCUCUGUAUGAGCGUAGAAGGAAUGAUCAGCCUAAUAUAUCAAUAUUUUGCUCAUUUUUAGCAAAAUAUUAUU
rnacentral:lncRNA from 10 species